rnacentral:lncRNA from 1 species
AUAUCUUUUCUUCACAAUCAUUAGGUAAUUAGUUACUGAAGAACCUGAGUUCAGUAUCUUGACAAGGACUGAACAAGAGCCAGGUUUUCUGUGAAGACCCUCAUUGAUCGAUCUUGCUUUGAGACAAUUGAUGAUUCCUCUCCUGAAUUUAACAAUUUUGCAGCUAUUUUGGAACAGAUUCUAAGUCACCGGCUAAAAGGUAACAGCAUUACUGUAUUAUUCAUUCUCCUCAAAGUUUAUAUAUAUAUAUA